AUUAGGAAUCUUGCGCAAUGGGGGCAACCCUGACGCAGCGACACAGCGUGGAGGAUGAAGGUCUUCGGAUUGUAAACUCCUUUUAUAUGGGAAGAAUAGAUGACUGUACCAUAUGAAUAAGGACCUGCUAACUACGUGCCAGAAGCAUCGGUGAUGCGUAGGGUCCGAACGUUAUCCGGAUUUAUUGGGUGUAUAGAGAUGCGUAGGCGGUUUGAUAAGUCUUGAGUUAAAGACCUCGGCUCAACCGAGGGAGAGCUUUCGAAACUAUCAGACUUGAGGCAUAGAGGGGUGAACGGAACUCCGAGUGGAGUGGUGAAAUACGUUGAUAUUCGGAAGAACAUCAGUGGCGAAGGCGGUUCACUGGCUAUUGCCUGACGCUCAGGCUCGAAAGCGUGGGUAGCAAAACGGAUUAGAUACCCGGGUAGUCC
rnacentral:rRNA from 1 species